UGAUGUCCCUCACCCAGCCCUGAAGAGCCCAGGUGGGCGAGGGAACAGUCAGCGGAUC
rfam:Rattus norvegicus pseudogene of ornithine decarboxylase antizyme.